rnacentral:rRNA from 1 species
CUGGCUCAGGACGAACGCUGGCGGCGUGCCUAAUACAUGCAAGUCGAGCGGACAGAUGGGAGCUUGCUCCCUGAUGUUAGCGGCGGACGGGUGAGUAACACGUGGGUAACCUGCCUGUAAGACUGGGAUAACUCCGGGAAACCGGGGCUAAUACCGGAUGGUUGUUUGAACCGCAUGGUUCAAACAUAAAAGGUGGCUUCGGCUACCACUUACAGAUGGACCCGCGGCGCAUUAGCUAGUUGGUGAGGUAAUGGCUCACCAAGGCAACGAUGCGUAGCCGA